rnacentral:rRNA from 1 species
GAUGAACGCUAGCGGGAGGCUUAACACAUGCAAGUCGAGGGGCAGCAUAGGGUAGCAAUACUCUGAUGGCGACCGGCAAACGGGUGAGUAACGCGUAUGCAACCUACCCUGUACAGGGGGAUAACCCGGAGAAAUUCGGACUAAUAUCCCGUAAUAAUAUCCGGAGGCAUCUUUGGAUAUUUAAAGUUCCGACGGUACGGGAUGGGCAUGCGUAACAUUAACUGGUUGGUAAGGUAACGGCUUACCAAGGCUAUGAUGUUUAGGGGUCCUGAGAGGGUGGUCCCCCACACUGGUACUGAGACACGGACCAGACUCCUACGGGAGGCAGCAGUGAGGAAUAUUGGUCAAUGGGCGCAAGCCUGAACCAGCCAUCCCGCGUGCAGGAAGACGGCCCUAUGGGUUGUAAACUGCUUUUCCAGGGAGAGAAACUUACGCACGUGUUGCGUGACUGACGGUACCCUGGGAAUAAGCAUCGGCUAACUCCGUGCCAGCAGCCGCGGUAAUCUGUAGUCCGU